rnacentral:rRNA from 1 species
UACAGAGGGGGCAAGCGUUGUUCGGAAUUACUGGGCGUAAAGGGCGCGUAGGCGGCCUUCUAAGUCGAACGUGAAAUCCCUGGGCUCAACCCAGGAACUGCGUCCGAUACUGGAAGGCUUGAAUCCGGGAGAGGGAUGCGGAAUUCCAGGUGUAGCGGUGAAAUGCGUAGAUAUCUGGAGGAACACCGGUUGCGAAGGCGGCAUCCUGGACCGGUAUUGACGCUGAGGCGCGAAAGCCAGGGGAGCAAACGGG